GAGGAGAAAGCAUUAAUAGAUGCAGUUGACUUGAAAUCAGCGGAUGGUGGUUUAAAUCUGCCUCUUCUGU
rnacentral:tRNA from 1 species